rnacentral:lncRNA from 1 species
ACUGGCAGAUUAAAGCGUUUAUUUUAAACUUGGAAAGGCCAAAACGCCGGUUGUUGGUCGCUUUUUUGAAGCCCCUGAUUUUUUUUUUAGCUUCAAAGUUUGUCUCGAAGCAUUCUUAGAUGGCUUAAAGAGCUUGUCAUACGUAUUCAAAAAAAAAAAAAAAAAAAAAGAAAUAGGACUGAAAGAUUUAAAACACAGCUGGGGAAAAAGAAAGUAAGAAACCCGCCAACAUUUAACGGUUUAAGACCUAAGUUGAGAACUUAGAGCCCAUGAAUGCAUUGAUCUUGGUACCACCAAUGUUGACUGAGUAUGGUAGAUGCGGGGGAACCGGCUUGGGUUGCAUUGGUGAUACUUAUCUUGUUAGCACGUCGCCUUAACCCAACCCAAUUAUUUUUGCCGAGGGAUAAAGGAGACUGGCUUGCUAGUUAGUUAUGGGCACUCGCGCGAUAAUGCUUUAUUUAUGUGGACACUUGGACAGUGUGUUGCACACUGUUGGUUUAGCCUGCGUUUUGGUAUCUUGUGGCGUAACUAUCUUCGACGGGUCAAAGAGGUCAUGGGCCAAGUUUCCACAUUUGGGAAGAAUCGUCUUCACGUGCCAUUCAUUGAUAAGCACGGAGUAUAAUUACCGCAAACGAAGACCCCUCUUGCUCAAAGGCAAUUUCCAACUUUUUGAUUAGUGACGCCAGUCACGGCCACGGUAAUGGCAAGUUGGCAACCCUCGUCUCGUUGAUCACUGGCGAGGAGGCAAUUGAGUAAUAGCGUGGUUGCAGUAAUGGAGGCUGUUGGAUGGGAAGAUCAAACAGGCUUUCAGGCCAAGUGGUUUCCAGACUAGCUGAUUGUAUCAAGGUUGAGGCGGACUCUCAAUAUUAUGGGCAAUAACAGAUUCGAGGAAUUGCUUUGCCGAUGCCGUUGGUGCACAAUACAACAACGUUUCAAUUGUUUCUCGUGAUACUGAGCCACCAGUAUCAAGAUAAUAUUUUAGGAGGGCCUCUCGUGUAGUCGGAGUGGGAACGGGGAGACUAAUCUCAUCCUCUUCUUCGUUUGGUGAGAGUGUCCGCCGAAAAUCGAUCUUGCAGAGGUUACCUAGGUAUGCCCGAGCCAGGAUGGUCGACCAACUUAAAGUCGGCUUGAUCUUGGUCUGUGCCAGCCUGCAAUUCACUCUUCCCAAAGACCGACGCUAUUUUAGCAAGUAUAUCGACUUUCCCGUCCACCCAUGCGGUAUCUUCAUCAGCCCUCCCAACGAAACCCAACCUCUGAGCUCCUACAGUUUUUAGUGACUCAUCCUCCUAAAUCAACAAAUGAACUAGCGUGUUACACCGUAAAUAUUGAUUUCAACCCCUUCGAAGAGACGCACACGCCUGUCUACCUACUUGGUCACGUGCAUCUGAAACCCUAAGUGAAGAGGACUAGAUUUUUUUUCCCUCUCUAAUGUUUCCUUCAAACGCGCAUUUACACCUGAUAUCCUGCGUAAUCUUUUCUAGUGGUGUUGGUAAUCUGAGUACACAAACAUGAUAUUUAAGUCGUGUACCCAGCAAACCUUUUCGUCAAAGAACCCCCUUUUCAACAAAGUAUCAUCAAACUACUUUUGUGUAUCGUUAUACUCGCAAAUUGGCUUAUGCUUCUUAUCAUCUAU